ACAGAGCCUGGAACAUAGUAAAUGUUCAAUAAAUGCGAUGUGUGAAAAUGAAACCAGUGCUGGAGCCAAACUGGGCCCACACAUGAGAUUCAAAAUGGUUCCUAUAAUCAAGAUGUGCUUGAACCUGGAGCAGGAGCAGGUCUCAGCAAAUGCCACAUCUCAGAGGAGAUGUCUAGUCUGCCUGAUUCAGGUUGCUGCGUAAGAAAUGACUAAUUCACUAUGAUCUUGAGGCCGUGCAGACUGACCUAUAAUCUUAGAAUUACUAAGCCAUUAUGAAAGGUUUUUCUAUUAGGUAAGUUUCCAUCCCUUUACCAUUCAACAUUUUGCUAACUCAAAGCAUUUUUACAAAUAUUUAAUUGAUUGGAAUCUGGAAAAGUAAUAAGCUUUUUUUCUGUUCUUAUAUGGCAUCCCCAAUAUCACAGUCUAUAACUGAUUUGAAAGAUUACCUAUAGCCCCUGGAUAUUCUUCUCCCCAUGUUAAAAGAAAGCAGGAAAAAUGAGAUUUGUGGAUGCAUCAUUACAAAUCGAGAUCAGUGGCGGGUGAAAAUUCUGGGAUUCAAUAAAGGAAGUUGCACCCAAGAGUAAGCUUGUUAA
rnacentral:lncRNA from 1 species